rnacentral:lncRNA from 1 species
UAUAUAUAUAUAUAUAUAUAUAUAUAUAUAUAUAUAUAUAUAUAUAUGCGAGGAAAUAAAAAGGGGCAAGUGCGCGGAGCCUCAACAAAGAAAGAAAAAGAGUGAGAUGAGAGGUAAAAAUGGACAAGUGUCCGGAGUAGAAUUAGGGGUACAAAGAUGCCCACUUGAGCGGAAAAAAAUGGACAAGUGUCCGACAGUAGAAUUAGGGGUAUCUACUACCCACCUGAAAAAAAAGAGAAAAGAAAAAGAUAGCCCAUGUUCUCCCAAAGCAAAGACAAAAAAGGAGGAGAGAUAGCAAUAUGAGGAGCAAUGAGAACUAAGUUUUAUUAUCACUUAUACAUUUUUACCAUCACUAUCAUUUACUCCACCACACAUGCACAUCUUGAUUUAAUUAUAUGCUGAGUUCCUUUGGAUCCAUGGCUCGAUUAGACAACAUAUGUAUGAGCUAUUUUUCACUCCUAUGAGCUCCACUUAAAUAUUCCAUUAGCUAUAGGUAAGUGAAAUUUUGGUAAGGAUCCACAAAUACUACAUAUAGAGAGACUUGAGAGAAUCAUUGCUUGGAACUCUGAAUUUAUUUUUUUGAAAACUUAUGAAAAACUCUGGAACAAAGGUGAAGUAUAGACAGGAGGAAUAGUGCUUGACUUAAUUAUUUUGUCUUUCAAUUACUUAAGACUUAAGUGCAGGUACUAAGC